rnacentral:sRNA from 12 species
AGCUCCACAUGUAGGUGUGGAGGAAGAGUAUUGUUGUCAAGCUUUCCGUCAGAAGAUCCACCAGGAUAUCCUGA